rnacentral:rRNA from 1 species
GAUGAACGCUGGCGGCGUGCCUAAUACAUGCAAGUCGAGCGAACGGACGAGAAGCUUGCUUCUCUGACGUUAGCGGCGGACGGGUGAGUAACACGUGGAUAACCUACCUAUAAGACUGGGAUAACUUCGGGAAACCGGAGCUAAUACCGGAUGAUAUUUUGAACCGCAUGGUUCAAAAGUGAAAGACGGUCUUGCUGUCACUUAUAGAUGGAUCCGCGCCGCAUUAGCUAGUUGGUAAGGUAACGGCUUACCAAGGCAACGAUGCGUAGCCGACCUGAGAGGGUGAUCGGCCACACUGGAACUGAGACACGGUCCAGACUCCUACGGGAGGCAGCAGUAGGGAAUCUUCCGCAAUGGGCGAAAGCCUGACGGAGCAACGCCGCGUGAGUGAUGAAGGUCUUCGGAUCGUAAAACUCUGUUAUUAGGGAAGAACAAAUGUGUAAGUAACUAUGCACGUCUUGACGGUACCUAAUCAGAAAGCCACGGCUAACUACGUG